rnacentral:rRNA from 1 species
GACGAACGCUGGCGGCGUGCUUAACACAUGCAAGUCGAACGAUGAAGCCGGAGCUUGCUCUGGUGAAUUAGUGGCGAACGGGUGAGUAACACGUGAGUAACCUGCCCAUAAGACUGGGAUAACUCCGGGAAACCGGGGCUAAUACCGGAUAACAUUUUGAACCGCAUGGUUCGAAAUUGAAAGGCGGCUUCGGCUGUCACUUAUGGAUGGACCCGCGUCGCAUUAGCUAGUUGGUGGGGUAACGGCUCACCAAGGCAACGAUGCGUAGCCGACCUGAGAGGGUGAUCGGCCACACUGGGACUGAGACACGGCCCAGACUCCUACGGGAGGCAGCAGUAGGGAAUCUUCCGCAAUGGACGAAAGUCUGACGGAGCAACGCCGCGUGAGUGAUGAAGGCUUUCGGGUCGUAAAACUCUGUUGUUAGGGAAGAACAAGUGCUAGUUGAAUAAGCUGGCACCUUGACGGUACCUAACCAGAAAGCCACGGCUAACUACGUGCCAGCAGCCGCAGUAA